rnacentral:rRNA from 1 species
CGGGACGGGUGAGUAACGCGUGGGUAACCUGCCUUGUACAGGGGGAUAACAGUUGGAAACGGCUGCUAAUACCGCAUAAGCGCACGGCAUCGCAUGAUGCAGUGUGAAAAACUCCGGUGGUAUAAGAUGGACCCGCGUUGGAUUAGCUAGUUGGUGAGGUAACGGCCCACCAAGGCGACGAUCCAUAGCCGACCCGAGAGGGUGAACGGCCACAUUGGGACUGAGACACGGCCCAA